ensembl:lncRNA
UUAUGGGGCAUGAGUCGUGUGGAAUGGUGACGUGUGUAGAUGAACGGGCCAGGUGAGUAGCUCCAUGUCACAUAACCACCGAUCACCAGGCUGCCGGCGGGCAGAAUCGUACCGGCAGCGAACAGAAGAUCUGCAGGGAUUAAGGAGAGAAAGUGAGUGACAACAUGGAAAGCUGACUCAUGCACUUGGUUUAAUGUACUGAAUUACGCACUGAGCACCAGGCAGCUCAUCACUGCCUGUUCCUCUGCAGAGCACAUGUUGUUGAGCACAAUCAGAAUCUUCAGAUCCGUACACGCGUAAUCAAAUCGAGAUUGAAACGGCUCGUGAUAUGUAAUAUAAUUAAAUGGGCAAACAGUACCAGUCAAAAGUUUGGACACACCCUGUCAUUGAAUUAAAGGAGAAGGUGUGGCCAAACUUUUGACUGGUACUGUACAUAGUAAAAACAUGACAAUAAAAAAAUCAAAGUUAUUUCUCUUUUUUUUGCUCUAGCUAUGAUAGUUUAGUUGUUUGGUAAAUGUCUUCAUUGUUUAGGCCACAGAUAUGGCUCAUCUACUCUCCACGUCUGUGUGGCCGCGAGCGGACAUUACAGUCAUUUUAUUAUUAAAUCAACAGACCAGAUGAAAGUCUCCUUUACCCCCCACUGAAUGGUGGGCGGAGAUAAAAGCCCCCGACAGCAGUCUGAGAGCAACGUUAUCUGAGAGGACAAAUCCAAUCACAGGGCCAAUUUACACGCAGUUCUUGGAGGUGAUCGAGGGAUCAGCAGAGAGGGGAAGGAGAGGUCGCCACACAGCGAUGCCAAAUGAGGCCAAGGAUGGGAUUAGCGAUGCAACACUAUGUACUCGCAACAAAGCAGCGCGGGAAGUUUUACACUGUGUAGCGGGUAUCAUAUUUGUGGUGUCUCCGUUACUUGUGUUAAUGUGCAGUUUGACAAUAUUUUGCAUGAACUGUGAUCUCUGACUCGGGAAGGAAAGAAGGAAGGAAGGAAAGAAAGGAGAGGAAAUGAAUCUCACCAAGCUUCAAGACGCCAAAAAGAGUAGAUUCAUUUUUCCGUUUUAUUGAAAUUUGUUUCACAGCUUCAUUGAGACGUCUGAAUUCAUUCUGAGUUCUGAACACAUCACAUAGCUGUGAAUGCUGCACAAGCGCAUGUAUUGGAAGCUGUGAACAACAAGUGGAGAUUUACUCUACAUAUCGCUGACUGGAGAUUACGUGCUGCCUGGAAAUGACAACUGGAAGGAACGAGAUGAACCAACAGCCGGCAGCUGGCUAACUUCAGGGCGCAGUGGUGGAGUCACGCCUACACGAUGAGCGACAUUAUCGUGCUGCUUGGAUCUCAGCUCCAGAACACCUUGAGGUUCAACAAUGCCCCCCCCCCCCCCUCAGUGUUCUAAUUUAAGAACAGUGUGCACUUUUUUGCAGCUGUAUAACAGCUGGUCCCUCAAAAAGCAAUUGCAAAAUCGAGAUAAGCGCAACAGAAAUAAAAAUAGGUGAAGGAGGCACAAGGAUGGGUAAAAGUCAGUCUCGUGAACGUUCAGAGAUCUUGCGGCACCCUGUAAUUGUGUCCUUGGUGUAAUUUCCAGUUGCCAUAGGAACGGGAGACAAUGCAAUCAAUUAGACCACAAGUGACUGUGUGUUGGAGAUAGAGACAUUAUAUAAAACACUUUGUUUCCAUGACAGAAAUAUUAUUAUCAUAGUGCCUUAAUUAAAACUAGGGGAAUUAAAUCAUGCAUAUUUCUUUCUCUUUUAUUUUUACAUAAUCCAGAUGUGCCAACGCAACUUUUCUGCACCAAGGCAGACCAGACAGAAGGAGCAAUUAAGAUGACAGAGAGUGAUUUGGUUAAUGCAAAGACAUUAAUUAACCUCGUUACGGCGUGACAAAGCCUUGUGAAUCGCAUGCAGGGAACACAAUGUUCUCCGGAGAAAUGACAUCAGUGAGCCGCUGCUUCUCGUGCCUCGUAUCUUCUUCUGCGUGUUUGUGUGUAGGUCUGAAGACCCAAGAGAUCCGGUCACAUGGUCAGAGAGGACGCCGGAGGAGCACAGCGCUUUGAAAGCCACGCACUCACACGCAUCCAGAUGCACGCACACACCCAAAGCCCCCUCCGACUCCUGCGUGUGAGGGGCCGCUGUUGACAGGAGGAGCCGGCGUUGACUCACCGGCAGAUAAGUGACCAGCCUGCGUCACCUGAGUGUGUGUGUGUGUUCUGAUCUUGGGGCGGCGGCCUGGACUCACCUGCUGCUCUGUUUGCCUCUCACUGUGUAAAUAAAGUCUGCAGUUUAUGGAUUGGCUUUGCACACAAGAAAAAAAAAACCCCAGACGUCUCCGCCUCCUCUCGUCCCCAUGGACACACAAUGCGGGAUUACACGUGUCCAUUUAUACGUUUAGUAUAAUUAUGAUACAUUGCUAACGCGUCAACUCUGAUAGUGAUUUAAUGGAUCCCGUAUCGAAUGGGCCUAGAUGUGCAUUAGGCACACAAUUGAAGGCAGAGUUGGAGAGCUUUUAACAGAAGCCGGGUCAUUGAAGGAGCAGGAGGACGAGGAACGUGAGGCUUUCACACAGCAGGAGAAGAGCUGGGCGGCCAUCUUCUCCUGCUCUGCAAAGUAAUUACAGAAAAGGGAAUUGCUGUUUGUGCAGCUCAGCUAUCGUUGGUGACUGUGGCUCCGGGGCGAAGCCGAUAACAUUUUCACUCCAACGGUCAAGCACAUUUCCCCCCACAGCUACUGUAAUUUUGGUCCUUGUACUUAUUGGCU